rnacentral:tRNA from 1 species
UUUACUGUGGUGUAUAGCACAUAAGGUUUUGAGCCUUAAAGAAUAAUUACGUCGGUAAAG